rnacentral:misc_RNA from 1 species
AACAUCGACAUUUCGAACGCACAUUGCGGUCCACGGAUACAAUUCCCGGACCACGCCUGGCUGAGGGUCGUUUAUAAUAUAAAAACUGCUUAUCUUUCUCUCUAUUUAUAGAGAAAAAAAGAUUCAAGCGAAAUAAUGAAUGUUCAUCAAAUAUAUAUAUUUCUUUUUCUUUAUUAGAAAUUAGAAAAUAUAAUAUUGGUGUCAUUUGAAACAAGUUGAAUAUAUUUCAGUCACAUUUGAAAGAAAAAAAAAUAACACAAACAACUUCUAUUGAACGAUAAAUUCACGUAUCAAUAUAUAAAAGACACUUGUUUAAUUGAUAUAUUGUGCAUUUAAAAAUUUCUGUUUGGUUGUUGUCAUUGUGUCAAUGAGUAAGUUAUACUUCAGACCGAUGAUUAUCAAUAUGCCAACAGAAUUAAAUGACAUAAAAAAAUAUAUCAUACAAGAUUUUAUUUUGAACGCUUUGUCUUAUUGAUACAAAUAAGUGAAUUAGUUUGUUGUUUAUUUUUUUUUUGUGACUAAAAUUUUCUUUAUGACGACCUCAGAUUAGGCGAGAC